GACGAACGCUGGCGGCGUGCUUAACACAUGCAAGUCGAGCGGUAAGGCCCUUUCGGGGGUACACGAGCGGCGAACGGGUGAGUAACACGUGGGUGACCUGCCCUCAGCUCUGGGAUAAGCCUGGGAAACUGGGUCUAAUACCGGAUAUGACCUGCUGCUUCAUGGUGGUGGGUGGAAAGUUUUCGGCUGGGGAUGGGCCCGCGGCCUAUCAGCUUGUUGGUGGGGUGAUGGCCUACCAAGGCGACGACGGGUAGCCGGCCUGAGAGGGCGACCGGCCACACUGGGACUGAGACACGGCCCAGACUCCUACGGGAGGCAGCAGUGGGGAAUAUUGCGCAAUGGGCGGAAGCCUGACGCAGCGACGCCGCGUGGGGAUGACGGCC
rnacentral:rRNA from 1 species